rnacentral:rRNA from 1 species
GACGAACGCUGGCGGCGUGCUUAACACAUGCAAGUCGAACGAAGAGCGACGGAAGCUUGCUUCUAUCAAUCUUAGUGGCGAACGGGUGAGUAACGCGUAAUCAACCUGCCCUUCAGAGGGGGACAACAGUUGGAAACGACUGCUAAUACCGCAUACGAUCUAACCUCGGCAUCGAGGAUAGAUGAAAGGUGGCCUCUACAUGUAAGCUAUCACUGAAGGAGGGGAGUGCGUCUGAUUUGCUAGUUGGAGGGGUAACGGCCCACCAAGGCGAUGAUCAGUAGCCGGUCUUGGGGGAUGAACGGCCACAUUGGGACUGAGACACGGCCCAGACUCCUACGGGAGGCAGCAGUGGGGAAUCUUCCGCAAUGGACGAAAGUCUGACGGAGCAACGCCGCGUGAGGGAUGACGGCCUUCGGGUUGUAAAGCUCUGUUAAUCGGGACGAAAGGCCUUCUUGCGAAUAGUGAGAAGGAUUGACGGUACCGGAAUAGAAAGCCACGGCUAACUACGUG